rnacentral:tRNA from 1 species
GCCGAAGUGGCGGAAUUGGCAGACGCGCACGCUUCAGGAGCGUGUGGGGCAACCCAUGGAGGUUCGAGUCCUCUCUUCGGCA